CGUAGUCCAUCCCGGGCGGUGGUUGUCCCGGGGUAAGCGUGUAGGACGACGUGUAGGCAAAUCCGCAUGUCAUAGGUCUGAGACGUGAUGCCGAGCCGAUUGUGGCGAAGUGGAUGAUCCCAUGCUGUCGAGAAAAGCCUCUAGCGAGUGCCAGGGCCGCCCGUACCCGAAACCGACACAGGUGGUCAGGUAGAGAAUACCGAGGCGAUCGAGUGAACUGUGGUCAAGGAACUCGGCAAAAUGCCCCCGUAACUUCGGGAGAAUUGGGGCCACCGCUGGUGAUCACCUUCGCGGUGUGAGCUGGUGGGGGCCGCAGAGACCAGGGGAAAGCGACUGUUUACUAAAAACACAGCUCCGUGCGAAGCCGUAAGGCGAUGUAUACGGAGUGACGCCUGCCCGGUGCUGGAACGUUAAGGGGACGGGUUAGCUCUUCGGGGCGAGGCUCAGAACUUAAGCGCCAGUAAACGACGGUGGUAACUAUAACCAUCCUAAGGUAGCGAAAUUCCUUGUCGGGUAAGUUCCGACCUGCACGAAUGGCGUAACGACUUUCCUGCUGUCUCGACCACAGACUCGGCGAAAUUGCACUACGAGUAAAGAUGCUCGUUACGCGCGGCAGGACGGAAAGACCCCGGGACCUUUACUGCAGCUUGAUAUUGGUGUUCGGUCCGGCUUGUGUAGGAUAGGUGGGAGACUGUGAACCCUCGACGCCAGUUGGGGGGGAGUCAUUGUUGAAAUACCACUCUGGUCGUGCUGGAUGUCUAACCUGGGUCCGUGAUCCGGAUCAGGGACAGUGUCAGGUGGGUAGUUUAACUGGGGCGGUUGCCUCCUAAAGAGUAACGGAGGCGCCCAAAGGUUCCCUCAGCCUGGUUGGCAAUCAGGUGUCGAGUGCAAGUGCACAAGGGAGCUUGACUGUGAGACCGACGGGUCGAGCAGGUGCGAAAGCAGGGACUAGUGAUCCGGCGGUGGCUUGUGGAAGCGCCGUCGCUCAACGGAUAAAAGGUACCCCGGGGAUAACAGGCUGAUCUUGCCCAAGAGUCCAUAUCGACGGCAAGGUUUGGCACCUCGAUGUCGGCUCGUCGCAUCCUGGGGCUGGAGUAGGUCCCAAGGGUUGGGCUGUUCGCCCAUUAAAGCGGUACGCGAGCUGGGUUUAGAACGUCGUGAGACGGUUCGGUCCCUAUCCGCCGCGCGCGUAGGAGUCUUGAGAAGGGCUGUCCCUAGUACGAGAGGACCGGGACGGACGAACCUCUGGUGUGCCAGUUGUCCCGCCAGGGGCGUGGCUGGUUGGCUACGUUCGGAAGGGAUAACCGCUGAAAGCAUCUAAGCGGGAAGCUCGCUUCGAGAUGAGGUCUCCCACAGGGUUAACCUGGUAAGGCCCCCGAGAGAUGAUC
rnacentral:rRNA from 1 species